UACGUAGGAUGCAAGCGUUGUUCGGAAUUACUGGGCGUAAAGCGUGCGUAGACGGUUAUGUAAGUCAGGUGUGAAAGCCCCGGGCUCAACCUGGGAAUUGCAUUUGAGACUGCAUAGCUAGGGUGCGGAAGAGGGAAGCGGAAUUUCCGGUGUAGCGGUGAAAUGCGUAGAUAUCGGAAGGAACAUCAGUGGCGAAAGCGGCUUCCUGGUCCAGCACCGACGUUCAGGCACGAAAGCGUGGGGAGCAAACAGG
rnacentral:rRNA from 1 species